rnacentral:rRNA from 1 species
AACGAACGCUGGCGGCAUGCCUAACACAUGCAAGUCGAACGAGACCUUCGGGUCUAGUGGCGCACGGGUGCGUAACGCGUGGGAACCUGCCCUUAGGUUCGGAAUAACUCCCCGAAAGGGGUGCUAAUACCGGAUAAUGUCUUCGGACCAAAGAUUUAUCGCGUUUGGAUGGGCCCGCGUUGGAUUAGCUAGUUGGUAGGGUAAAAGCCUACAAAGGCGACGAUCCAUAGCUGGUUUGAGAGGCUGAUCAGCCACACUGGGACUGAGACACGGCCCAGACUCCUACGGGAGGGAGCAGUGGGGAAUAUUGGACAGUGGGCGAAAGCCUGAUCCAGCAAUGACGCGUGAGUGAUGAAGGCCGUAGGGUUGUAAAGCACGUUUAUCCGGGAUGAUAAUGACGGUACCGGGAGAAUAAGCACCGGCUAACUCCGUG